CGGGCCACACGUGUGCGGUGGGAGCGGCGGGCCCGGGAGCGCCAGCGGGACCGUGGGAUAGCGGAACAGAGGGACAGCAGGACACAGCGGGACAUCGGGGCAGAGGGACACAGCAGGACACAGCGGGACAGAGGGACACAGCAGGACACAGCGGGACAGAGGGACAGCGGGCGUGCCGGGCCCAGCCUGCCUGCCUGCCUGCCUGUGCGCGGCCUCUGUGUUGCCGCGAUGGAGAGCAAGGGUAAAAAGAAGUUCGUGGGGAAGAGUGGAAAAGGACCUCGUGGAAAAGCGCCGCACGGGAAAAGGAGAUUUAAAAAAGAUAAUGAUUCAGGUCCACCGAAGAAAGUCUUUAAAAAAGGAGAUGAGGAAGGAAAGCCUAAAUCCAUUUCCAAGAAAUUUGGUAAAGGACAGUUAAGACCUGGAAAAACUACUGUCAAACAAUUCAAGAAUGAACAGCAACCAUUAAAGUUUGCAAAGAAAAGAAAACUCCAGGAUGGUGAAGAGGGAGGGUCAGAUUCUAAGAAGCCAAAUUGGAAUGACUUCAAAAAGAAAAGGAAAGAGUUAAAGCAGACCAGACAAAUUAAUGAUAAAAGUAAUUAUGACGUCAUUGUAAAAUCUAAACAAGUAUGGGAAUGCGUAAGAAGGAAGAAAUGCGAUAAGGAGAAACGAGAAAAGCUGAUGAAUGAACUGCAGAAGCUUCUUCGUGGGAAAAUUAAAAACUUGGCGUUUGCACAUGAUUCAACCCGGGUGAUCCAGUGUUUUAUUCAGUAUGGUAAUGAGAAGCAAAGGCAAGAGACAUUUGAAGAACUGAAAGAUAGCCUAAUAGAGUUGAGCAAGUCAAAAUAUUCCAGAAAUAUUGUGAAGAAGUUUCUUAUGUAUGGGACAAAAGCACAAGUUGCAGAAAUAAUAAAAAGUUUUAAAGGCCAUGUGAAAAAAAUGCUCCGUCAUGCCGAAGCAUCUGCUGUGGUGGAAUAUGCAUAUAAUGACAAAGCCAUUCUGGAGCAGAGGAAUAUGCUGACAGAAGAACUAUAUGGGAACACUUUCCUGGUUUACAAGACACCGGCUGUCCCAACACUGGAUAAAGUGCUAGAAGCUCAGCCUGAAAAGAGAGAGGCCAUCUUGGAUGAGAUGAAGCAGAUUCUUACACCAAUGGCACAAAAAGAGGCGGUGAUAAAGCACUCACUGGUACAUAAAGUAUUUUUGGACUUUUUCACUUACGCUCUUCCAAAACAAAGAUCUGAAAUGAUAGAAGCUAUCAGAGAGGCUGUCAUCUACCUGGCACAUACUCACGAUGGAGCCCGAGUAGCAAUGCACUGUUUAUGGCAUGGCACUCCCAAGGACAGAAAAGUCAUUGUGAAAACUCUGAAGACGUAUGUUGAAAAAAUAGCAACGGGUGAAUUUUCUCAUCUGGUCUUGCUGGCAGCAUUUGAUUGCAUUGAUGACACUAAACUUGUGAAGCAGUUAAUUAUAUCAGAAAUAAAGGCUUCUUUGCCUGAUAUAAUAAACAACAAAUAUGGAAAGAAGGUCUUGUUGUACUUGCUAAGUCCUAGAGAUCCUGCACAUUUUGUUCCAGAAAUCAUCACACUUCUGCAACAGGGAGAUGGAAAUGCCUAUAGUAAGAAGAAUACUGAACUCCGUCGCCAUGAACUCCUGGAAGCCAUUUCCUCGCCUUUGCUAGAAUAUUUGCAAGAACAUACCCAAGAAGUAGUGAUAGACAAAGCUACUUUUGUCUUGGUUGCUGAUAUUUUAAGAACAGCUCUUGGUGACAUCCAGCCUGCACUAGAUGCAAUUGCCAAGUUAGCAGCAGAAGAGCUGGUUCCAGGAGGCUGUGAUGGACAGCUCCACAUUGCAGAACAUCCAGCAGGCCAUCUAGUUUUGAAAUGGUUAAUAGAGCAAGAUGAAAAAAUGAAAGAGAGUGGAAAAGAAGUUUGCUUUGGAAGAACACUGGUGGAACAUGUUGGUAUUGAGAAUCUGAAGACCUGGGCAGAAGUAAAUCGAGGUGCCAUUAUUCUUUGUUGCCUUCUCCGAAGCACUGAUGAAAAUGUGGCAAGCACAGUCAAAAAAGGACUAAAAAAGCUCAUCCCAAAGCUGAAGCAGAAUAAACAUAUAAAAGGAAUAGAAGCACUACUGGAGAAAUUGACUUCGUAGUGUAAAUGAACCUAAAAUAAUUAUUUACAUCAAUGCAGUCAACUGAGAUUUGCUUCUUGGUGGCCUCCCAAUAUCCAAAGCCCAAACUAUCAUUGCUGUGACAAAGGGUGGGAUGCACCUUCUCCACAGCACUCAGAUAUUUUCCUCAUGGCUCUCCGUGUGAAGUCAACCUUCC